GUGGCUUAAUUUGACUCAACGCGGGGAAUCUUACCGGGUCCGGACACACUGAGGAUUGACAGACAGUUGUCUUUCCCUCCCUUCGGGGUGGGAUUACAAAAGAUAACAGAUCUUUCAUGAUCAUGUGAUGGGUGGUGCAUGGCCGUUCUUAGUUCGUGGAGUGAUCUGUCUGCUUAAUUGCGUUUCAAAUUUUAUAUUUGUUAACAUGCGAGUCUUCAAUGACGGCCACUCCACCUUAUAGACAUUAUAUGAUAUGCACAUUUGUGUAUUUGAUUAUAACUUGUCUGGAGUCUGGCUCGAUUUUUUUGACUCAAUUGAACGCAACGGACGUGAUUGCAAGUCCUUGUUGAACAAAUUAUAUAUAUACUACUUCAUCAUUAGUAUAUAUAGUUCGCUUCUCAUGUCGUAGCAGUCAAACGGGCGGGCGUCUUAAUUGGCGCGGUCACGAGGCUUAAUAUGCUGCGGCUGGGGAAAACUUGGGCGACCGCUGUAAUACUUCUCUCUUAAACCAGAGGAAGAUUGCGGCAAUAACAGG
rnacentral:rRNA from 1 species